rnacentral:tRNA from 1 species
GGAGAUUUAGCUCAGUGGUAGAGUGCUUGCCUAGCAAGCGCAAGGCCCUGGGUUCAGUCCCCAGCUCCG